rnacentral:tRNA from 1 species
GGGGUUGUGGCUCAGUGGUAGAGCACUCACCUAGCACAUGCGAAGUGCUGGGUUUGAUCCUCAGCACCACA